rnacentral:tRNA from 1 species
GGAGAGGUGCGAGAGUGGUUGAAUCGGACGGUCUCGAAAACCGUUGUGCGCUUCGGUGUACCGUGGGUUCGAAUCCCACCCUCUCCGCCA